rnacentral:rRNA from 1 species
CUGGCUCAGGACGAACGCUGGCGGCGUGCCUAAUACAUGCAAGUCGAGCGGACAGAUGGGAGCUUGCUCCCUGAUGUUAGCGGCGGACGGGUGAGUAACACGUGGGUAACCUGCCUGUAAGACUGGGAUAACUCCGGGAAACCGGGGCUAAUACCGGAUGGUUGUUUGAACCGCAUGGUUCAAACAUAAAAGGUGGCUUCGGCUACCACUUACAGAUGGACCCGCGGCGCAUUAGCUAGUUGGUGAGGUAA